GACGAACGCCGGCGGCGUGCUUAACACAUGCAAGUCGAACGAUGAAGCUGGAGCUUGCUCUGGCGGAUUAGUGGCGAACGGGUGAGUAACACGUGAGAAAUCUGCCCUUGACUCUGGGAUAACUGCGGGAAACUGUAGCUAAUACCGGAUACUUUACCUGGUGGGCAUCCACUGGGGAAGAAAGAAUUUCGGUCAAGGAUGAUCUCGCGGCCUAUCAGCUUGUUGGGGAGGUAAUGGCUCACCAAGGCGACGACGGGUAGCCGGCCUGAGAGGGUGACCGGCCACACUGGGACUGAGCCACGGCCCAGACUCCUACGGGAGGCAGCAGUGGGGAAUAUUGCACAAUGGGCGCAAGCCUGAUGCAGCAACGCCGCGUGAGGGAUGAAGGCCUUCGGGUUGUAAACCUCUUUUAGCAGGGAAGAAGCGAAAGUGACGGUACCUGCAGAAAAAGCACCGGCUAACUACGUGCCAGCCGCCGCGGUAA
rnacentral:rRNA from 1 species